rnacentral:tRNA from 1 species
GGGGAUAUAGUUCAGUUGGUAGUGUGCUUGCUUCACAUGCACAAGGCCCUGGGUUCAAUUCCCAGCACCACCA